rnacentral:rRNA from 1 species
UACGGAGGAUCCGAGCGUUAUCCGGAUUUAUUGGGUUUAAAGGGUGCGUAGACGACCUUAUAAAUCAAAAAUGAAAGACAGUAGCUCAACUAUCACAAUACCUUUAAUACUACAGGACUUGAAUGUACUUGAGGUAGACGAAAUAUGACAAGUAGCGAUGAAAUGCAUAGAUAUGUCACAGAACACCAAUUGCGAAGGCAGCUUACUAAAGUAUGAUUGACGCUGAGGCACGAAAGCGUGGGGAUCAAACAGG